UGGGGAAUUUUGGACAAUGGGCGAAAGCCUGAUCCAGCAAUGCCGCGUGUGUGAAGAAGGCCUUCGGGUUGUAAAGCACUUUUGUCCGGAAAGAAAUCCUUGGCUCUAAUACAGUCGGGGGAUGACGGUACCGGAAGAAUAAGCACCGGCUAACUACGUGCCAGCAGCCGCGGUAAUACGUAGGGUGCAAGCGUUAAUCGGAAUUACUGGGCGUAAAGCGUGCGCAGGCGGUUUGCUAAGACCGAUGUGAAAUCCCCGGGCUCAACCUGGGAACUGCAUUGGUGACUGGCAGGCUAGAGUAUGGCAGAGGGGGGUAGAAUUCCACGUGUAGCAGUGAAAUGCGUAGAGAUGUGGAGGAAUACCGAUGGCGAAGGCAGCCCCCUGGGCCAAUACUGACGCUCAUGCACGAAAGCGUGGGGGAGCAAACAGGAUUAGAUACCCUGGUAGUCCACGCCCUAAACGGUGUCAACUAGUUGUUGGGGAUUCAUUUUCCUUAGUAACGUAGCUAACGCGUGAAGUUGACCGCCUGGGGAGUACGGUCGCAAGAUUAAAACUUAAUGAAUUGACGGGGUCAUAGCUGUUUCCU
rnacentral:rRNA from 1 species